rnacentral:misc_RNA from 1 species
GUGAAUCAUCAAAUCUUUGAACGCAAAUUGCACUUUCUGGUAUUCCGGAAAGUAUGCCUGUUUGAGGGUCAGUUAUAUAAAAAUCGGUGUUGUGUCUGCAUUUCGUGGUGUUGCGUCGGAAUUGCGUUGUCUUACCUUCGGGUAAGGGACUUAAAAUUUUGCAUGAUUUUCGAACGUUUUUAAAUUUCUUACGUACGUUUGAGAGAUCGAAUUCUUUAUUAGGAUCGGUC